UGCCAUCAGGAAGCUCGGAAAUAUCGUUCCCAUGAAGAGACCUGAAGAGGAGGAGGAGAAUGUCAAGGACUGGCCAAGAUAUGAGGCUCCGCGGGUCUGGAGAAGCCUGGUGUCGGGUUUCUACGUGUCUGGCUGGCAGGACCAACAAGGGCACAGAGCACGGAGGUGACGCGCCUUCGUGGGAUAACGGCUUGAUGAUUGAUGACUGCCAUAAUCAACCGGGUCAUUCCCACCUCAAAUCCCCAGCUGAG